UUUUAUGUGGCUUUAAGGCUUCCAAGUCCAACAACUUCUCUUCUUUUCCACGUGAGGUGCAGCUUUAUUCAUCCCUCUUCCCCUUGCGAGAUGGCUUCACAAAUCCUCUUUUUCCUUGGUUCUAACUUCUAACACACAAUGCUCUUCCACUAGAAGCAAAAGGCGGUUCCGCAAUACUUGGGCUCCCGUGGAUUACGUUAUAUUUCAAACUUCUAUUUCAAUUGGAUAUCCGUUGAUUUCAGAGUGAGAAUGGGUCACAAAAACUUUCAUCUUUUCUGUUGCAUCGUUCUUUUGCUUGUGUGCUUCCUUUGUGGAUCGAAGGCUCAAAACGAAGAGGGGGAGAAAUCCAGCAGGAGUUUCUGGCAACAAUAUCUCUUCGAUUUGUUGAACAAACUAUUUUGCAGUACUUUGAAGACAAGUGUUGAUUCAUGGCUCCAAAGAUUAUGCGUUAGGGGUUGUUUUGGGACAAAGGAAGGACAAGCAGCCACAUGUCAUCUAUUAUGCAUCUCGGACCUUGAAUGACGCUCAAUUGAACUACUCCACCACUGAAAAGAACACCUUGCUGUUGUGUUUGCUUUAGAUAAGUUUCGUUCUUAUUUACUUGGAACUAAAGUCAUCAUUUAUUCUGAUUAUCCAGCUUUGAAAUACUUACUCCACGAAGAAAGAGGCCAAACCAAGGCUUAUUCGCUGGAUGCUCCUUCUCCAAGAGUUUGAUAUCGAAAUCCGGGACAAGAAAGGAAGUGAGAACCUGAUGGCUGACCACUUGAGCCGUUUGGUACACGAUGAAGAGCCAUUACCCAUCCUAGAAGCAUUCCCAGACGAGCAGCUGUUGUCCAUUGAGGUAAGUGUGCCAUGGCAUGCCGAUUUAAUGAAUUAUUUGGUGUCUAAACAAGUUCCAAGCACCCUAAACAAGCACCAAUGUGACAAACUUAAAAAGGAUGCACAUUUUUAUGUGUGGGAUGACCCGUACUUGUGGAAAUAUUGCCUUGAUCAG